GUUAAGCGACUAAGCGUACACGGUGGAUGCCCUGGCAGUCAGAGGCGAUGAAGGACGUGCUAAUCUGCGAUAAGCGUCGGUAAGGUGAUAUGAACCGUUAUAACCGGCGAUUUCCGAAUGGGGAAACCCAGUGUGUUUCGACACACUAUCAUUAACUGAAUCCAUAGGUUAAUGAGGCGAACCGGGGGAACUGAAACAUCUAAGUACCCCGAGGAAAAGAAAUCAACCGAGAUUCCCCCAGUAGCGGCGAGCGAACGGGGAGGAGCCCAGAGCCUGAAUCAGUGUGUGUGUUAGUGGAAGCGUCUGGAAAGGCGCGCGAUACAGGGUGACAGCCCCGUACACAAAAAUGCACAUGCUGUGAGCUCGAUGAGUAGGGCGGGACACGUGGUAUCCUGUCUGAAUAUGGGGGGACCAUCCUCCAAGGCUAAAUACUCCUGACUGACCGAUAGUGAACCAGUACCGUGAGGGAAAGGCGAAAAGAACCCCGGCGAGGGGAGUGAAAAAGAACCUGAAACCGUGUACGUACAAGCAGUGGGAGCACGCUUAGGCGUGUGACUGCGUACCUUUUGUAUAAUGGGUCAGCGACUUAUAUUCUGUAGCAAGGUUAACCGAAUAGGGGAGCCGAAGGGAAACCGAGUCUUAACUGGGCGUUAAGUUGCAGGGUAUAGACCCGAAACCCGGUGAUCUAGCCAUGGGCAGGUUGAAGGUUGGGUAACACUAACUGGAGGACCGAACCGACUAAUGUUGAAAAAUUAGCGGAUGACUUGUGGCUGGGGGUGAAAGGCCAAUCAAACCGGGAGAUAGCUGGUUCUCCCCGAAAGCUAUUUAGGUAGCGCCUCGUGAAUUCAUCUCCGGGGGUAGAGCACUGUUUCGGCAAGGGGGUCAUCCCGACUUACCAACCCGAUGCAAACUGCGAAUACCGGAGAAUGUUAUCACGGGAGACACACGGCGGGUGCUAACGUCCGUCGUGAAGAGGGAAACAACCCAGACCGCCAGCUAAGGUCCCAAAGUCAUGGUUAAGUGGGAAACGAUGUGGGAAGGCCCAGACAGCCAGGAUGUUGGCUUAGAAGCAGCCAUCAUUUAAAGAAAGCGUAAUAGCUCACUGGUCGAGUCGGCCUGCGCGGAAGAUGUAACGGGGCUAAACCAUGCACCGAAGCUGCGGCAGCGACGCUUAUGCGUUGUUGGGUAGGGGAGCGUUCUGUAAGCCUGUGAAGGUGUGCUGUGAGGCAUGCUGGAGGUAUCAGAAGUGCGAAUGCUGACAUAAGUAACGAUAAAGCGGGUGAAAAGCCCGCUCGCCGGAAGACCAAGGGUUCCUGUCCAACGUUAAUCGGGGCAGGGUGAGUCGACCCCUAAGGCGAGGCCGAAAGGCGUAGUCGAUGGGAAACAGGUUAAUAUUCCUGUACUUGGUGUUACUGCGAAGGGGGGACGGAGAAGGCUAUGUUGGCCGGGCGACGGUUGUCCCGGUUUAAGCGUGUAGGCUGGUUUUCCAGGCAAAUCCGGAAAAUCAAGGCUGAGGCGUGAUGACGAGGCACUACGGUGCUGAAGCAACAAAUGCCCUGCUUCCAGGAAAAGCCUCUAAGCAUCAGGUAA
rnacentral:rRNA from 1 species